AAUAUAUUCCCUAUAUAUUAAUGGAGUGGGUUUGGAUUACACACAAUGUUGGUGGAUUGUGCCCAGAUAUCCAACCACUUAUCCAGGGUUUUGCAGAUAAUCAUUAUUUUCCUGUUAAUGCAACUACAAGAGAGAAAUUAGAGCUUGAAACAGAGAAGGAUUGGUGGGAUGUACUAUGGGUACAUCAGAAUGCAAGACAUUAAUAAUCCAACUCAAAUUUUUAUCUUAUUGUAAUAUUUUUCAUUACAAACAUUGAGUUUUA